GGGGCAGAUUAGGAUUCGACGGGAUACACGAAACCCAAGGUGCAUGUCGAGGGGCGGUUGGCCUCGUAAAAAGCCGCAAAAAAAUAGUCGCAAACGACGAAAACUACGCACUAGCAGCUUAAUAACCUGCAUAGGCCCUCCCACUUCAGCCGUUGUCUUUUCGUGAAGGCUCGGGAGGUCAUACUAAAAGACUAGCGAGGGAACCUCGUCUGAGGGUGAACCGCGAAAUCGUAUCAGACCAGCCACGAGAAAUCCUGUUUGUCGGAGUUCAACUGGUUAAAUAAAAGACAGACUAAACAUGUAGGACCGAGGAUGUAGGUAUUGCGGACGGGGGUUCAAAUCCCCCCUGCUCCACCA
rnacentral:tmRNA from 1 species